rnacentral:rRNA from 1 species
UACAGAGGUCCCGAGCGUUGUUCGGAUUCACUGGGCGUAAAGGGUGCGCAGGUGGAUUUGCAAGUUUGAUGUGAAAGCCCCGGGCUUAACCCGGGAAUGGCAUUGAAUACUGCAGAUCUGGAGGAUUGGAGGGGGGACUGGAAUUCUUGGUGUAGCAGUGAAAUGCGUAGAUAUCAAGAGGAACACCAGUGGCGAAGGCGAGUCCCUGGACAAUACCUGACACUGAGGCACGAAAGCCAAGGGAGCAAACAGG